GGAGAGAUGGCCGAGCUGGCUGAAGGCGCUCGCCUGCUAAGCGAGUAACGGGGUAACACCCGUUCGAGGGUUCGAAUCCCUCUCUCUCCGCCA
rnacentral:tRNA from 1 species